UAUUAAAAUUUUCAUUCAUCUCUACUGUUAAAACUUGGCGCAACUGACAAAAUAACCAAAUAGUUAAAUAUGACGUGCCAUUUGUACCUCAUGCUAACAUAUAAAGACUAAUUUUUAAUAGUAAAAAUGGAUAAAAUCUUUAACA
rfam:Gossypium raimondii Chr10_contig_22, whole genome shotgun sequence.